ACGAAUGGCUAUGCACUGCACAACCCUAGGAGAGGGUGCCAUUCACAUAGACUGUAAUUGAAUGGCGCCACUAGGGUUGUGCAGUGCAUAGCCAUUCG
rnacentral:pre_miRNA from 11 species